CACUUCUAAGGAAGGCAGCAGGCGCGCAAAUUACCCAAUCCUGACUCAGGGAGGUAGUGACAAGAAAUAACAAUAAACCGGCUUAUGCCGGUUUAAUUGGAAUGAGUACAAUUUAAACAUCUUAACGAGGAACAAUUGGAGGGCAAGUCUGGUGCCAGCAGCCGCGGUAAUUCCAGCUCCAAUAGCGUAUACUAAAGUUGUUGCAGUUAAAAAGCUCGUAGUUGGAUUUCUGUGGGGACGGAGCGGCCGGCCGCAACACGCGGUUCGAGCUAGCGCUUUCCCUACAUCCUGCCGCGAACCGUGCUACCAUUAGUUUGGUGGCGCCGGGGAUCGGCUCGAUUACUUUGAGAAAAAUAGAGUGUUCAAAGCAGGCCACACGCCUUGAAUAAGUUAGCAUGGAAUAAUAACUAAGGACUUCGGUUCUAUUUUGUUGGUGUUCGGGACUGAAGUAAUGAUUGAUAGGGACAGUUGGGGCGGUCUGUAUUCCAAAGCGAGAGGUGAAAUUCUUAGACCUUCGGAAGACAAACAGCUGCGAAAGCGUUCCGCAAGGAUGUUCCCUUUGAUCAAGAACGAAAGUUGGGGGAUCGAAGACGAUCAGAUACCGUCGUAGUCUCAACUAUAAACUAUACCAGCUAGGGAUCGGCCAACGUUAUUCUAUACCGACUUGGUCGGCACCUUAUGAGAAAUCAAAGCAUCUGGGUUCCGGGGGGAGUAUGGUCGCAAGGCUGAAACUUAAAGGAAUUGACGGAAGGGCACCACCAGCCGUGGAGCCUGUGGCUUAAUUUGACUCAACACGGGAAAACUUACCAGGUCCAGACAUAGUAAGGAUUGACAGAUUGAUAGCUCUUUCUUGAUUCUGUGGGUGGUGGUGCAUGGCCGUUCUUAGUUGGUGGAGUGAUUUGUCUGGUUAAUUCCGUUAACGAACGAGACCCCAGCCUGCUAAAUAGCGCGCGUGAGCUUUGCUCGCGGCGAGCUUCUUAGAGGGACUCUGAUGCGCGAUAGCACAUGGAAGUUUGGGGCAAUAACAGGUCUGUGAUGCCCUUAGAUGUUCUGGGCCGCACACGGGCUACACUGGCGCCUGCAACGAGCAUAUCAGCUGGCCCGAGAGGGUCUUGGCUAAUCUUUUGAACCGGCGCCGUGCUUGGGAUUGACCUUUGCAAUUGUUGGUCAUGCAACGAGGAAUGCCUUGUAAACGCGAGCCAUCAGCUCGCAUUGAAUACGUCCCUGCCCUUUGUACACACCGCCCGUCGCUCCUACCGAUGAAUGUUCCGAUGAAAUUUUCGGAGAGCACCUGUGAACUUGGCUCUGCCUUGCGAACGGGAGGCUCAAAGUCACUUAAAUCUGAACAUUUCGAGG
rnacentral:rRNA from 1 species